ACUCCUACGGGAGGCAGCAGUGGGGAAUCUUGCGCAAUGGGCGAAAGCCUGACGCAGCAACGCCGCGUGGGGGAUGAAGGCCCUCGGGUUGUAAACCCCUUUCAGCAGGGACGAAUCUGACGGUACCUGCAGAAGAAGCCCCGGCCAACUACGUGCCAGCAGCCGCGGUAAU
rnacentral:rRNA from 1 species